GAUGAACGCUGGCGGCGUGCCUAAUACAUGCAAGUCGAGCGAACAGAUGAGGAGCUUGCUCCUCUGACGUUAGCGGCGGACGGGUGAGUAACACGUGGAUAACCUACCUAUAAGACUGGGAUAACUUCGGGAAACCGGAGCUAAUACCGGAUAAUAUAUUGCACCGCAUGGUUCAAUAGUGAAAGACGGUUUUGCUGUCACUUAUAGAUGGAUCCGCGCCGAAUUAGCUAGUUGGUAAGGUAACGGCUUACCAAGGCCACGAUGCGUAGCCGACCUGAGAGGGUGGUCGACCACACUGGAAGUGAGACAGGGCCCAGACACCUACGGGAGGCAGCAGUAGGGAAUCUUCCGCAAAGGGGGAAAGCCUGACGGAGCAACGCCGCGUGAGUGAUGAAGGUCUUCGGAUCGUAAAACUCUGUUAUUAGGGAAGAACAAAUGUGUAAGUAACUAUGCACGUCUUGACGGUACCUAAUCAGAAAGCCACGGCUAACUACGUG
rnacentral:rRNA from 1 species